rnacentral:lncRNA from 10 species
UGCACUCCAGCCCGGGCGACAGAGCGAGACUCUGUCUCAAAAAAAAAAAAAAAAAAAAAAAAAAAAAAAAAAAAAAAAAAAAAAAAAGGAAAGAAGGAAAGGAAAGGCAAGGAAAAGGCAAGGAAAAGGCAAGGCGGCGCAAGGCGGGGCAAGGCGAGGCAAGGCAAGGAGGAACUCCAGGCCCUCGUUUAGGACUCCAGGCCAAAGGCUGUGUCAGCCGCGGGUCCCCCGCCACCCCACGCGCACAGGCGCAGGCCUCACACCGCGUGCCCGACGACGCCCCGAGGGGCCCCGGUCGCAGUUAGUUUGAAGGGAAUCGGUGGUACAGAUCGUGGCUUGGAGAACGCGGCUUGACCUGCGGCCAGAAUCAGACUCAUUCCGAACACGCGGCGGCCCUGGCCCAGCUGGCCCCUCCCACGCUCCCGCGGGGAUUCUCCUGCAGCCGGAGCCCCUCCCCCCACUCGUGCCCUCUUCCCAUCAAGCCCUGGUCCCCAGGUGACCGGCAUAGGAGACUCCUGUCCCUUCAGGCGAAGCCCAGCGCCUCCCUCUUCGGGUGGUCUCGCCUUUUGGCUUCAAGAAGUCAAUCUCAGACAGUCUAGUUUGUUCAGCUUGCAUGAAUUUUAAGGUAUUUUAAGAGCACUUUUCUUUAUAUUUUGAUAACAUUUAUUUCUUAAAAUUACAAAUGCAGUAUAUUCUGGUUUUGAAAUCAGUUCAUAGUAGGAGAUGUUCAAACAAAAGAAUAACCAAACAACCAAGUAAAUUACUGAGUCGAUCAUGGGAGCCACCAUUUUUUCUCCAGCCUUUUUUUUUUUCCAGAAUGCCUUUUCCUACCAGAUUUUAUAUAAUUUAAUGUUAUCCCUCCCCCCAAAUAAUUUUUAAUAAAAAUCAAAAAGAACCACCAUCACUGUUUACAACUUGUUUUUUAAAAAUAUUGAAAACCACCCCCUACCUCCACCCUCCACUUCCAAUCCCCCAGGAGUAACUAGUAGUAACAUUUUCCAAAUAUACAUAUCUAUAUUGAUAAAUAUGUGACCUUAUUUUACAUAUUCUUAUGAGGUGACUGUUCAGGUCUCUUGCCCAUUUUUAUAUUCAGCUGUCUUUUUCUUAUUGGUAUGUAGUUCUUUCUAUAUUCUGGAUAGGAAUACUUUGUCAGUAAUAUUGGACUGCAAAUCUCUUCUCCAACUGUGCAGUUUGCCUUUUUACUCUGUCAAUGGUGUCUUUUGAUUAAGAGAAACUCUCAGUGUUAACAUAAUCAAAUGUAUUAUCCUUUCCUUUAUGAUCAAUGCUAUGGUCUAUGUAAUAAGCACUUCUCUUCCCAGAGUUCAUGAAAAUCUUCUGUUAUGUUAUCUUCUCUAACCCUUGUUGCUUUGCCUUUUGCAGCUAGAGCUACCAUAUAUCUGGAUUUUGUUUUUGUAUAUUAAGUUUUCUUUGUGUCCACCAUCUGUUGAUCAACCAUCCUAUUACAUUUGUUGAAAGGACCAUUCUUCCCCUACCAUCAUUAGGCAGUGCCCUCUCUGUUCUAUUUGUCUGUCUUUCUACACUAUUUGCUGUCGCUUUAUUGUAAAUCUUAUAACUUUAUUGUAAAUCUUGAUGCCUCUGGUGGACCAAAAUCUUCCCACCUUAUUAUUCUUUUUAAAGAAUAUUUUGCCUAACUUUGGUCCUAUGCAUCUCUAUACAAGCUUUAGAAUCAGCUUGAUGGACUGCAAUCAAAAUACUUGCCAGAAUUUGAUUAGGAUUACAUUGAAGCAAAUUGGUUUCAGAAAAAUUAACAUAUUUUAAAUAUUGAGUCUUUUAAUCCAUGAACAUGUUUGUCUGUUUCUCUUUAAUCUAUCACAAUAAUGUCUCAUAGUUUUCUGCAUAGAAGUCAUGUACAUCUUUUGUUAGAUUGUUACCUAGGUAUUUGCUGUCUUUUGAUGCUAUUAAAAUGCAUUUUUAUUUUGCUCUUGCUUGUUAUUUUUGUAUUGUUGGUCUAUAGAGUUGCAAAUGAUUUUUAUGUGUUGGCUUUGUAACCAGCAACCUUGUUAAACUCUCUUAUUCAUUUUAACAAUUUAUGCCAGGCACAGUGGCUCAUGCCUGUAAUCUCAGCACUUUGGGAGGCCAAGGUGGGAGGACUGCUUGAGCCCAGGAGUUCCAGACUGGCCUGAACAACAUAGUGAGACUCAGUCUCUACAAAAAAAAAAAAAAAAAAAAAUUAAGUUAGCCAAGCCUGGUGGCACACGGCUGUGGUUCCAGCUACUUUGGAGGCUGAGACGAGAAGAUCACUUGAGCCAAGGAGGUCGAGGUUGCAGUGAGCUAUGAUCGUGCCACUGUGCUCCAGCCUGUGUGACACAGCAAGACUCUCUGUCUCAAGAAAAAAAAGAAAUACUAGAUUUUUCACCUGGUUAGAUGAUUAAAAAACAAAGAAGAAAGAAAAAGAAAAUGUAAAAAGAAAAAAUUAUUAGACAUUUUUAUAUUUUCAAUGAACAUAUAUCAGCUACAUAAUGAGAGUAUUAUGCCUUUUGUUUCUUUUCCUGGCCUUAGUCACAUUGUUGAAAACCUCAGUGCAGCGUUAAGUAGAAGUGGAGAUAGUGGGAAACUUGACAAAAGUGUGUAUAAUAUUUAUUAUGUACGGUAUGAUAUUUACUAGAAACUUCCUGUAUCUAUCUUAAAUAGACUGAGGACAUUUUCUUUUAUUCCCAGGUGGCUAACAGUCUUUUUGUCAUGAAUGGAUGUUGAAUUUUAUCAAAUGCUUUUCCCACAGCUACUCAGAUGGUCAUAUGAUUUUUCUUUUCUAUUCUUUUACAUGACCAUUUAAAUUUAUUUUUAGCAUAUUAAGUUAAUCUUACAUCCCUGUGUUAAAGUCCACUUAAUCGUAGUGUGUUAUCUUUUUUAAUUUAACACUGAAUUUAUUUUAUUUAGGAUUUUCACACCUGUGAAUGUGUGAGUGUAUGUGAGACUGGCCUGUAAAUUUCCUUUUUCAUGAUGUCCUUGUCUGAUUGAUAGCAAGGUUACCCUGCUCUCAUAAAACAAGUUCCCUCUUUUUCUAGUCUCUGAGAGAGGUCUUUUCUUUUUUGUAAAAUGAACUCUUUUUUUCUCCCUUAAAUGUUUGUUACAAUUAAUCAGAGAAGACAUUGGAACCUACAGCUUUCAUGUGGGAAGUUUUUAAUUAUAUACUCAAUGUAUUUAAUAGAUAUGGAACUAUUCUGAUCUGUUACUUUAAUUUUAGCUUAAUUAGUUAUAUAUUUUAGGAGUUUUUUCUUUUCAUCUAAAUUUUCAAAGACCCAACAUCUGGCUUUGUUGAUCCUCUCUGUUCUUGUUUUCAAAUAAUUUGUGCUUUAUUUUAUUUUUUCUUUUCUUUUCUUUUUUUUUUUUUUUUUUUUUCUUGCUAGAGACAGGGUCUUGCUCCAUUGCCCAGGCUGGAGUGCAGUAUCAGAAUCUCAGCUCAGUGCAGCUUUGACAUCCUGGGCUCAAGAAAUCCUCCCACCCCAGCCUCCAGAGUAGCUGGGACUGGGACUACAAAUGCAUACCACCUUGUCCAGCUAAUUGUUAUUUACUUUCUUCUACUUUAUUUGGAAUUAAUUUACUGGAUAUUUUUCUUCCUUUUUUUUUUUUUUUUUUUUUUUCGAGACAGCCUAGGCUGUCGUCUAGGCUGCUGGAGUACAGUGGCACAAUGACAGCUCACUGCUGACUUGACCUCCCUGGGCUCAGGUGAUCCUCCCACCUCAGCCUCCUGAGUAGCUAGGACCACAGGCAUGCACCACCAUGCCCAACUAAUUUUGUAUUUUUUGUAGAGAUGGUGGUGUGGUUUGGCCGUGUCCCCACCCAAAUCUCAUCUUGAAUUGUAGUUCCCAUGAUCCCUGUGUGUCAUGGGAGGGACCCAGUGGGAGGUAAUUGAAUCAUGGGGGCGGUUACCUCCAUGCUGCUGUUCUCAGGAUAGUCAAUGAGUUCUCACAAGAGCUGAUGCUUUUAUAAGGGGUUUCCCCCCCUUUUGCUCAGCACUUCUUCCUGCCCCCAUGUGAAGAAGGACUUGUUUGCUUCUCCUUCCACCAUGAUCGUAAGUUUCCUGAGGCCUGCCCAGCCCUGCGGAACUGUAGAGGGUGGCUUGCACACAGAGCAGAGAAGGCGAUGUGAAGAUGAGGCAGAGAUCGGGACUACACAGCCAAGAGCACCAGCAGCCGCCGAAUCCGGAGGAGGAUGCUUUCACCACCAGGAACUAACCAGGUGGUCUUGAGACUGGUGAACUCCGUGGACCAAACAGAAUCCAGGCUCCAAGCCUCUCCCUGGCAAGCCUCUUGCCUUUUGGUUCAUGGCAGGAAGCAACACCUCAUGUCAUGCUGGGACUGCAGCCCAAGGCAGGAAAGCACCAGCCUUUCUUAGGACCCCAUGGGUAGCCCCCAACUUCACCAGCCCCUUUCCUGUGAUGUCUCCACACAUCUCUUUGGCCAGAGUCCUGUCACAGCCCAGUCCCACAACGUGGACCUGGGAGGGGCUCCAGGGAGGGGUAUGGAGGGGAUGAGCCCUCUUGUCCACCCCAAAAGCCUGGUCACAGUGGGGACAGCAGCAGGUGCAGUCCAGCUCUGCCCAUCUCCCAGCUAGAGCGGGAGGGAGGCACCACAGGGCUCCUCUAGUCCUGAGGAAUGAGCAUCCUCUGUCCUCCCAAGGCCCAGCCAGGCCAGCUGAUAUGUGCUGCCCGGGGGCCGGGGUGGGAGCCAACAAACUCCCCCUGACCAGCCACUGUCCAGUGGGAAGCUCUAGCCAGACCGUGCUUAGAUCUAGGCAGCGGCUCCCCACAGACACAGGGCUCCAAGUAGCCACACUCCAGAGCCUCUCCAGGACUUCGAAGAGUUUCGCAAAAGUCUAGGGAGAGAAGGAGCACCAAAGCCUCCUUAGUCACAGCCUCUGGGCCUAAUGCACUCCCUUCUGUGGCCAACCUCACCUACCCUGUCACCUCAGACUCAGAAGGAGGGCCGCAGAGCCACCUGGACCUGAGCUUCAAUUCUCUUAAGGCUCUACCAGGGUGACCCUUCAGCGGAGAAUCCAGAGUGGGGGCUGCAUGUGAAUGAAGCUCAAUCAUGGGGGGCUGCAUCUGAAGCUCUCAAGCAAUGGAGGCUGGAUCUGAAACUGUCAAUCACUGGGGGCUGCAUGUGAAGCUGUCAAUCACUGGGGGCUGUAUCUGAAGCUCUCAAUCAGUGGGGGCUGCUCUGGGGCUCUCAAUCAAUGGGGCUGCCUCUGAGGCUCUCAGUCAAUAGGAGCUGCAUCUGAGACUCAGUCAAUAGGGCCUGCAUCUGAGACUCUCAAUCAAUGAGGACUGCAUCUAAGACUCUCAGUCAAUAGGGGCUGCAUCUGAGACUCAGUCAAUGAGGACUGCAUCUGAGAGUCAAUCAAUAGGGGUUGUGUCUGAGACUUAAUCAAUGGGAGCUGCCUCUGAGACUCUCAAUCAAUGGAGGCUGCGUGUGAAGCUCUCAAUCAAUGAGGGGUGCAUCCGGGACUCUCAAGCAACGGGGGGUACAUCUGAGACUCUCAAGCAAUGGGGGCUGCACGUGAAGCUCUCAAUCAAUGGGGGUGCAUCUGAGACACUCAAGCAAUGGGGGCUGCAUGUGAAGCUCUCAAUGGAGGCUGCAUCUGGGGCUCUCAAUCAAUGGAGGCUGAUUCUGAAGCUCUCAAUCAAUGGGGGCCGCAUCUGAAUCUCUCAAUCAAUGGAGGCUGCAUCUGAAGCUGUCACUCAGUGGGGGCUCCAUGUGAACCUCUCAGUCAAUGGGGGCUGCAUCUGAGACUCUCAAUCAAUGCGGGCUGCAUUUGAGAUUUCAAUCAAUAGGGGCUGCAUCUGAGAGUAAUUCAGGGUUGUGUCUGAGAAUCAGUGCGGACUGCCUCUGAGACUUUCAGUCAUUGGGGGCUGCAUCUUAGACUUUCAAUCAACAGGGGCUGCAUCUGAGACUUUCAAGCAAUGGGGGCUACACGUGAAGCUCUCAAUCAAUGGGGGAUGCAUCUGAGACUCUCAACCAGUGGGGGGUGCAUCUGAGACACUCAAGCAAUGGGGGCUGCAUGUGAAGCUCUCAAUGGAGGCUGCAUCUGGGGCUCUCAAUCAAUGGAGGCUGAUUCUGAAGUUUUCAAUCAAUGGGGGCCACAUCUGAAUCUCUCAAUCAAUGGAGGCUGCAUCUGAAGCUGUCACUCAGUGGGGGCUCCGUGUGAACCUCUCAGUCAAUGGGGGCUGCAUCUGAGACUCUCUAUCAAUGGGGGCUGCAUCUGAGACUAUCAAUGGGGGCUGCUCUGGAGCUCUCAAUGGGGCUUCCUCUGGGGCUCUCAGUCUAUGGGGCUGCAUCUGAGACUGCCAAUCAAUGGAGGCUGCAGUUGAGACUUCAAUCAAUAGGGGCUGCAUCUGAGAGUCAUUGAGGGUUGUGUCUGGGAAUCAGUGGGGACUGCCUCUGAGACUCUCAGUCAAUGGGGGCUGCACCUGAGACUUUCAAUCAACAGGGGCUGCAUCUGAGACUCAAUCAAUAGGGGCUGCAUCUGAGACUCUCGAUCAAUGGGGGCUGCAUCUGAGACUCUCUAUCAGUGGGGCUGCCUCUGGGGCUCUCAGUCUAUGGGGGCUGCAUCUGAGAGUCAAUCAACAGGGGCUGCAUCUGAAACUUAAUCAAUGGGAGCUGCCUCUGAGACUCUCAAUCAAUGGGGACUGCAUGUGAAGCUCUCAAUCAGUGGAGGCUGCACCUGGGGAUCUCAACCAAUAGGGGCUGCAUCUGAGACUCAAUCAAUGGGGCUGCAUCUGAGACUCAAUCAGUGGAGGCCGCAUCUGAGACUCUAAUCAAUGGAGGCCGCAUCUGAGACUCAAAACGGUGUGGGAGUGCACGGCAAAUCUGGCCUUUGGUGCCCUCUGGUGGGCAUUGCAUGCCCUGCUGACCAGUCUGAGGACAGAGAUGAGGGAAAGAAAUCAGGGUAGCGUGGGGCUGUCCAGGGUUUUCCCCACCGACAUGGAUGACAGGGUGACCCUGAAGAAGUCACUCUUUUCUCUUAGCCUUGGCUUCCUAAUCUGCAAAGAUGGUGACAGAUACAUUCCAUUUCAAAAGGCUGCCAGGGUCUAGGCGCAGCUGCUCAUGCCUGUAAUAUCAGGUGCACUUUGGGAGGCUGAGGGAGGAGGAUCACUUGAGCCCAGGAGUUUAAGACCAGCCUGGGCAAGAUAGUGAGACCCCCAUCGCUACAAAUAAAAUAAAAUAAAAUAAAAAUUAGCUGGGUGUGCUGGUGUGUGCUUGUGGACCCAGGUCCUCCGGAGGCUGAGGUGAGAGGAUCACCUGGGCCAGGGAGGCCAAGGCUGCGGUGAACCAUGAUUGUGCCACCACACUCCAGCCUAGGUGGCAGAGUAAGACCCUAUCUUUAAAACACAAACAAAAAACAAACAAACAAAACUGCCAGGGAUGAGAUAGUUCAGGCAAGACUGUGCAAGUCCACAGCCCUGGCAGUUCCUUCCUGUGUCUCCCAGACAGAGGGGCUGAGUUCCAGAAGAAGAGGGUUUCACCGUCCCGCGCCCUCCCCUCCAUCCUGUGUCUGGCUGCCAGGGGAUGUUCCUAAGCCCUUCAGGUUCCUGCUGGCCAUAGGACAGUCCCCGAGUGCUCUGGCCUGGCUCUCGAGGACGGGGAUGCCCUGCCUGUCCCUUCCCCAGCCUCAGCUGUGCUGACACCUUCCAUCCCCACACACACCUAUACUGUGACCACCUCCUGGCCUUUGCCCCUGCUGACCCCCUUGGUCACUCCCUCCCGCUGUCCCCUUGCCCUCUGACAAAUUCCUAUCUUCCUUGUAAUCCCAGUGUGGGUGGGCAUCUUCUCCUCUGAGAACCUUCCUGGAUCCCACUGCUCACCCCCACCCCGCCCCGGCCUCCCCUCUCCCCGGCCCCACCCCGGGUCUUCCCUCUCCACAGCUCCGCCCCAGCCUGCAGUCCACUCGCGUCUUGUCAUAUGAGACCCUGGGUGUCUCACAUCCGACACGGCUUUAAUUUUUAUCUUCCUUACAUGUUGUUCUCCCUUGUUGAACUAGGAGAUCCCCUGACCUUGGUUUUCUUCCAGGCCCCGGAGACGCCUGGCCUGUGUUGAGAAGGGUACAAGUGUGUUGAAACCUCUGUCCGACUGAGGCGGCACAUCAGCAGAAAGGAGCCAGGGAGCCCAGGGACGCCUGCGGGCAGUCCCUCUGCCCUCCUACCCACACCUGCUUCUGGGCAGCCAGUGUUCAUCUCUCGGAGGCCAUGGGCCUGGGGACUGGGUUCAGCAUGUCUGUGAGCGGCUGAAUAUUCCCCACAAACUUCAACCAAAACAACGUAUCACAACAGACUCAUGCAGAAGCAGAUAUGAGAAUCUACCUGUCUCCUAUCAAGCCAGACCAUAAAGAUAUUGACAAAAAUGAAAACUAAUGCCACCCUUAUUGUUAACUUUGUUGUUGUGGUUUCAGAACAUACUUAUUUUUCAUUUAAAAAUAAUGACUAAUGUUAACAUGUUAUGGCUUUGUCAUUCUUUUAAAAUAAAUAUUAUUUCUAAACAAAUAUUCUUUUUAAAUAAAAAUUUAUUUUCAAAUGUAUC